rnacentral:rRNA from 1 species
GAUGAACGCUAGCGGCAGGCUUAACACAUGCAAGUCGAGGGGUAUAGUUCUUCGGAAUUAGAGACCGGCGCACGGGUGCGUAACGCGUAUGCAAUCUACCUUUCACAGAGGGAUAGCCCCAGAGAAAUUUGGAUUAAUACCUCAUAGUAUAGCAGUUUCGCAUGAAACCACUAUUAAAGUCACAACGGUGAAAGAUGAGCAUGCGUCCCAUUAGCUAGUUGGUAAGGUAACGGCUUACCAAGGCAACGAUGGGUAGGGGUCCUGAGAGGGAGAUCCCCCACACUGGUACUGAGACACGGACCAGACUCCUACGGGAGGCAGCAGUGAGGAAUAUUGGACAAUGGGCGCAAGCCUGAUCCAGCCAUGCCGCGUGCAGGAUGACGGUCCUAUAGAUUGUAAACUGCUUUUGUACAGGAAGAAACACUACUUCGUGAAGUAGCUUGACGGUACNGUAAGAAUAAGGAUCGGCUAACUCCGUGCCAGCAGCCG